AAAGUCGUAACAAGGUUUCCGUAGGUGAACCUGCGGAAGGAUCAUUACUGAGGAUUUCCUGGCGCACGCUGGGGAGACCCGACCUAUUGUCAUGUGCACGUUUGGGGGAGGAACGGUGGGUGGUUUGGCGUUUUGUGGCGUGUGACGGAUGGUGCCCGAGAGGGUGGUCAUCUGGAACGGCCCGCGCUGGCUGCCGCCGCCCCCGACGAACCUUAACUUCGGCGGAAGAGGUAGGCCUGGACCUGCCCGCCGCCGGCCGUAUGUUAUGUCUACUCUGCAACGAGAAUCUGAAGCCUGACAACACCCAAACAAAAUGAAAAGCAAAACUUUCAACAACGGAUCUCUUGGCUCUG
rnacentral:misc_RNA from 1 species